CGAACAGUUUAGAGAGGUAGGCCCCCACUUCUGGCCCUUCCCCUCGGCUUAUUUUUGCCUUGUAAAAUUAAAUUUGCACAUUUCGGAUGUGAUUAAGAAAUACCUAACUGCUAUAAAUAAACAAGCAGAUAAUAUGACACAAACAAAAGCCGGGCCUGCCAAGUCCUAACAAGUCAAGGAGAUGACGUUGUUUAUACACGCUUGAAACCACAGAGCAACGAAUGCUUCCAACCCAAAGCAAGCGUGCCAUGCCAUGCACAAACAAAACCAGAUCACCUGGGUUAAAAAGCACAGAUCUCGUCAUGAAACCCUGAAGAAUUCCUUUAUGACUUUCAUUUCCAUUGAUACUCACAAUUGGAAAUGAGUACUGAAAGUCCUAAGCUGCCUGCAGAGAGGUUUCCUGCCCUGGGAGGUUCCCUGCAAACGUGUCACAGAUCUAUGCAUAUGAGAAAGGUUUGUUUUCAACAAAAUCCUUCUUAGACUCCAGGACACGGCCAUAUAAAUGCUAAAUUUGGAGGUGGCGUUCACUGGACCAGGAAAAAAGAUUAGUCAUACAGAUUGAGAGAAAUCAAAUCCCUGAUCCAGAAGAAUUGUACUGAUACAAAAUGGAACACCUCCAACAGGGGUAACAGCAAGGAUUCCCAACACCAAAUACAUCAUAGCUUGGAAACUCUCUCAUCAGGAACUCCCUCCUGCAAAUCCAGACGUGUAGAAGUUUAGCUCAGGAAGUCUGUCUGUCAUGGCUCCAGGCACUGUUAAUCACUUUAAAAUGAUCAUUAAAAAGCAGCAGCAGCAAAAGGAUGCAGCUCUGGUGAGGUUUAGAUCUCCUCUGUGUCUCCAGGAACCAAGCUCUACCAUCACCUCCUUUCCCCAUCUGCCCAAAAAAUAGCUUCCACUCCAGCAAGGAGAGGAUGAAUGUAGACAAGACAUUUUCACAUAGGAGAAAUACAGAGUCUUUGCCUUCAGUCCAUUUGCAGGCAAAGGGUUUGGAGGCUGCCUGCCACCAUGCUGGAGCCCGUGCCACCUGGAGCAGUGUCUCAAGGGGAUGCUCUGUGCCUGGGUAGUUCCUCAUCAGGUUGCC
ensembl:lncRNA